UACGAAGGGGGCUAGCGUUGCUCGGAAUCACUGGGCGUAAAGGGUGCGUAGGCGGGUCUUUAAGUCAGGGGUGAAAUCCUGGAGCUCAACUCCAGAACUGCCUUUGAUACUGGAGAUCUUGAGUUCGGGAGAGGUGAGUGGAACUGCGAGUGUAGAGGUGAAAUUCGUAGAUAUUCGCAAGAACACCAGUGGCGAAGGCGGCUCACUGGCCCGAUACUGACGCUGAGGCACGAAAGCGUGGGGAUCAAACAGG
rnacentral:rRNA from 1 species